rnacentral:rRNA from 1 species
UACGUAGGGGGCAAGCGUUGUCCGGAUUUAUUGGGCGUAAAGAGCGUGUAGGCGGCCAGAUAGGUCCGUUGUGAAAACUCGAGGCUCAACCUCGAGACGCCGAUGGAAACCAUCUGGCUAGAGUCCGGAAGAGGAGAGUGGAAUUCCUGGUGUAGCGGUGAAAUGCGCAGAUAUCAGGAAGAACACCCGUGGCGAAGGCGGCUCUCUGGGACGUGACUGACGCUGAGACGCGAAAGCGUGGGGAGCGAACAGG